rnacentral:rRNA from 1 species
AGUGAACGCUGGCGGUAGGCCUAAUACAUGCAAGUCGAACGGCAGCACAGUAAGCGCUUGCUCUUACGGGUGGCGAGUGGCGGACGGGUGAGGAAUACAUAGGAAUCUACUUUUUCGUGGGGGAUAACGUAGGGACACUUACGCUAAUACCGCAUACGACCUACGGGUGAAAGCAGGGGAUCUUCGGACCUUGCGCGACUGAAUGAGCUGAUGUCGGAUUAGCUAGUUGGCGGGGUAAAGGCACACCAAGGCGACGAUCCGUAGCUGAUCUGAGAGGAUGAUCAGCCACACUGGAACUGAGACACGGUCCAGACUCCUACGGGAGGCAGCAGUAGGGAAUAUUGCACAAUGGGCGCAAGCCUGAUCCAGCCAUACCGCGUGGGUGAAGAAGGCCUUCGGGUUGUAAAGCCCUUUUGUUGGGAAAGAAAAGCAGCAGGUUAAUACCCCGCUGUUCUGACGGUACCCAAAGAAUAAGCACCGGCUAACUUCGUG